GGGGAGACCAAGAAUCUCCAAUUCCAAAGAGGAGGGAUGGAAAGGGAGGGAGAAGGGGUCUGCCCCUCCCUGUUUAUUCAGUAGCUGCUGGUCUCCUCUCUCUUUGGGCAGUGGCACAAGGAGAUACAGAGAUGCCAAGGCCAGGUGCCCACCACGCACGUACACACUCACAUCUAUGGGGAGAAAGGGUUGAGAAAGCCCCCCCUUUAGCCACUCACCUCGCCUUCUCCAGGGCUGGCCAAGAGAUGCAGGAGGAAGAGGAGGAGGAAGGCAGAGCGGCGGUCCUUUGCGCUCCGGCUAAGGCAAGCUCAGCCUCCAAUCCCCGCCCAGCCCAACCCCGGAGAACGGAGGGAGGAGGAGGAAGGGGAAGAAGAGGAGGAGGAGGAAGAGGAGGAGGAGGAGGCGCGCUUUCCAGGAAGGACGGAGGGGAGACAGGCGAGGCGCAUCUCUUCUCUAGUGUCAUCACCAAGGAAAGGGAUGCCUCAAGGAUGGCAGGAGGAGGAGGAGGAGGAGGAGGAGGGCUCUAGCCAUUUCAGGCCUGGAAGUUAAGGGGAGCAGCUUUGUCUUCCUUCCAGUCUCUUCUUUAUGUAAAGUGCACAGCACUAUAUAUAUUUUGUCUUGUUUUUAAGGAGUUUUUGGACUUCUGUUUCUGAAGAUGACAUUGGAACACCUUCAGUUCCUUUUGGGCUUCUCCCAGCAUGGCCCAACCAGAAUUAUAGACUUGGAAGAGACCCCCAAAGGCCAUCUAGUCCAACCCCCUGCCCUGCAGGAAAAGCACAAUCAAAGCACCUCCGACAGAUGGCCAUCUCAUGUCCCCACAAUCUAGAGCUGACAGAUGGGAGCUCAUCUCAUCUUACGGAUUCAAACUGGCAACCUUCAGACAUCCAAAGAGUUGCAAGACCAAGAACAAACCAUGAGAGGAAAGACAAAGAUCCACCCAGAGGGAAAGUGUUCUUACCAUACAUCAAGGGAACUACUGACCGCAGAGGGAAGCUCAUGAAGAAACACAACUUACCAUCUACAGACCCACCAAGAAAAUCCAACAAAUUCAGCAAAGAACAAGAGGGAUCCUCUCACCUCUGCAGGGCCUACCAUAUACCAUGCAGCUGUGGACAAGUCUACAUAGGGAUCACCAAACACAGCAGCAUUGCCCAGGCACAAAUCAAGGAACACGAAAGGUACUGUAGACUAACUCAACCUGCUGUUUCUGAGUGUUGUUCUUUAUUUAUUACCUUGAUUCUGGUGUUCAUUAAUACUGGUAACCAGAUUUUGUUCAUUUCCGUGGUUUCCUACUUUCUAUUGAAAUUGACCACAUGCUUGUGGAUCAGUUUAGCUGUAGGAUCUCUUCCAGCAGGAGACCCAUGA
rnacentral:lncRNA from 1 species